rnacentral:lncRNA from 1 species
CAAUCCAUUCUCAACACCAAAACUCCACGGUCUUCACUGCACACCUGGAUCGCAUUGUUUCGAAGUCGUUUUCGCCAUCAUCACAAUCCGAAUCGGUUCGGAUUCAUCCUCAUCUUCGCUGAAUUGCUGCAACCGGAGUCCAAUACGAAUCUGAUCCUAGCUAACGCUUAUUCCUGAAAUGCGACAUGGAUAUCUCCGGCGAAGGCGAAGACAAUCCGGCGGCCACACACAAUCUCUCAUUCUCGAUCUGAAUCUUUCAACCAUUUCCUGCAGUCGUGUUUGCAUCGUUCCACUUGUUCCUGAAGGAUGUUAUUUUUCGAUUUCGGCACUUCUGAGAUUGGAAUCUUUGCGAGGCUUGGACUCACACAAGAUCGAACGAAAUCGGUAUCAGGAUUCAACGCAGUGAUUCUUCGAAAUAAAUUUCACAGGUAAUGUUUCAUCUCUUCCUCUUCGUCUCGCUUCUUCAAUUUCUUCGAGCUUCCUCUACCUUCUUCUUCUUCAUUUUUCUGCGGUUACCAUUGUUAUUGAUGCGUUGUGUAUCCGUGAUGCAGGUUAGUGAAAAUCUGCAGAAGUUGAAUAAGGGCUAGAGAUGGAGAUUUGCAGGGAGUAUGAACAAGAAUGAAAAAGAAACUGAGUUUUGCAGAAUCAAUGGGUGCUGAAGAUUGCAGGUAGCGUAUGGUUGUUACAGUUGCAGAGUGAAGGGUGGAUAACAGAAUGAAGAGAUAAGAGAAAGAUUGAAAGAGUGAAGAAAACUCGUGGCCCGAGCCAAUGGUGAGAACUGCCAAUUUAUAGAGUUUCUAUGAAGUGAUUUUGUUAACUCUGUUAAUCUCUUCUCCCACCAAAUUUGUUAAUCGUUGAAACUCUGUUAGUUAGUUAGUUUUUUAAAUUGAUUCUUCUGUUAAAUUUCUGUUGACAAUCUCAAAUGGCUUUUGAUUCUCUGUGGUGAAUGCAGCUUCUGUUAUCAUGGAUGGUUCGAAAAAAUGCAGGUGUUUUUGAACUUGGAUGCGCAAGCCUUGUCGUUUACUGCGUUUCGCAUUUACUCUAAGCUUGCUUUGGUCGUUUCUGCGUUUUGCAUCUUCACAUGUACUUGGUGUUGCAAGCACUUUAUGUUGUGCAAGCCGCAUUCUGCAGCUUGUAUUCCAGUUGCCUUGUGUUUUCAUCUUGUACUUUUCUUCUGCAUUUCCACUGUUCACCUCUUGGUUUGGACAUGACUUAAUACAUGGAUGAGGAUUAAUGGGUUAAUUGGACUAUGAAAAAUGAGAAAAAGGUUUUGGAUAAUAAUUGGAAUUGGUCAAAUAAGUGUGGUUUAAGAACUGGAAAAUGGGCAAUUGCAUUAUGAAAAAUGGGCAAUUGCAUUAUGAAAAAUGGACAAUAAUGGAUAUGGAUUUGGAUUUAGUUAGAUGGAUAAUUGGAUGUGGAUUGUAAAUUGGUUAUCAAAAAUUUCUUUAAAAACCAAUAUUUAAAUCAAUUGUUUUAGAA